rnacentral:tRNA from 1 species
GGCACCAGGUUUUGAUCCUGGCAUUCCCAGGUUCGAAUCCUGGUAUCCCAGCCAUACAAUUUCUUAAGGUUA